rnacentral:rRNA from 1 species
GGACCUGACUGCUAUCGGAUGNAUACUAAGCCAUGCGAGUCAUUGUAGCAAUACAAGGCAUACGGCUCAGUAACGCGUAGUCAACCUAACCUAUGGACGGGAAUAACCUCGGAAAACUGAGAAUAAUGCCCGAUAGAACAUUAUGCCUGGAAUGGUUUAUGUUCCAAAUGAUUUAUCGCCGUAGGAUGGGACUGCGGCCUAUCAGUUUGUUGGUGAGGUAAUGGCCCACCAAGACUAUUACAGGUACGGGCUCUGAGAGGAGUAGCCCGGAGAUGGGUACUGAGACACGGACCCAGGCCCUAUGGGGCGCAGCAGGCGAGAAAACUUUGCAAUGUGCGAAAGCACGACAAGGUUAAUCCGAGUGGUUUCUGCUAAAGGAACCUUUUGUCAGUCCUAGAAACACUGAUGAAUAAGGGGUGGGCUAGUUCUGGUGUCU